rnacentral:tRNA from 1 species
GCCGGGGUGGCGGAACUGGUAGACGCGCCAGACUCAAAAUCUGGUAUCCGAAAGGGUGUGCGAGUUCGAUUCUCGCUCCCGGCACCA